CUCAUAUAAGAAACAUUACUGACUUGUUCUUCUUUAGGGAAGUGUCAAAGAUAACCAUUUCUGAUGCUUCCUUAGGCCCAAAAGAGUCAGCAAAAAUACCUCGAUACGACCAAUGAGGCUCGGAGAAGACCACUCCUGACACAUGCCCUGGAAGAAGCGUCAGGACGUGUUCCCUAGUUCCGACGCGUCCGUUUUGCGUCAACAUAGAGGGUUUCCGACGCGUCAGAAAUAAGUGAUUUUGUAGUAGUGCUCCUAAAACUCACAGGAGUAGAAAAACAAAUUGAUAAAUUACAAAAAAAAUUCACAUAGAGUAUAUAAAAUAUUAGUUCAUAUAUGUAAUUAAAUCAAACCAAUGCUUGCUAGUACAUUUGAUUCAUAACUUUUAGAACAAUAUAUUUGGUACUUGUUCCAUACACUACCUCCAUUAAACAGUUAAGAAAAAAAUAAAAAACACAUUAUUUUGUCCAAAUGAUAUCAAAUAAAAUUUUCAUUUAGUACAUUUAGAACGUUUUAUGCGAUUCUCCUGUUACAAUAGAGAGCAAAAUCAUAUUAUAUCCAAUGAUGAAAAAUAUGCCGAGAGUUACAAUAGAAGAAAUGAACUCUAAGUUUGACUUACCUUGACCCAUUCAAGGCAAGGUAUGAUCAUAUCGCACAUUUAAUGUUGAUAUUUUGAUUUCAAGCUUGUUAUGGUGUAACAUGAGUCCUUGCUCAGCCUCGCCU
rnacentral:lncRNA from 1 species